rnacentral:rRNA from 1 species
UAGAUAUAUUUUUUCCAGGCAAAUCCGGAAGAGAUGUCGAACGUGAUAGUACCACAAAGCUUCGGCAGAGUGGAUAGUGGUCCUAAUCAUACCGCCGAGAAAAACCUCUAAGGUUAGGCUAUAGCGGCCCGUACCGCAAACCGACACAGGUAGACGAGAUGAGUAUUCUAAGGCGCUCGGGUGAGCCGCGGAGAAGGAACUAGGCAAAUUGAUGCUGUAACUUCGGGAUAAAGCAUACCACCUUAUGGGUGGUCUCAGUAAAAUGGUUCAACCAACUGUUUAACAAAAACACAGGGCCCUGCAAAAUCGUAAGAUGACGUAUAGAGCCUGAUACCUGCCCGGUGCCGGAAGGUUAAGGAAGGAUGUUCGACGCAAGUCAAAGCUUCUGACUGAAGCCCCGGUAAACGGCGGCCGUAACUAUAACGGUCCUAAGGUAGCGAAAUUCCUUGUCGGGUAAGUUCCGACCUGCACGAAUGGUCUAAUGAGUUGAACGCUGUCUCCUCCGCGAGCCCGGUGAAAUUGUAGUAUCGGUGAAGAUGCCGGUUACCCGUCACGGGACGGAAAGACCCCGUGAACCUUCACUACAACUUUGCAUUGAUUUUGAGCAACCGAUGUGUAGAAUAGUUGGGACGCUUCGAAGCAGUGGCGCCAGCCAUUGUGGAGCGGUCGUUGAAAUACCAACCUUUGUUUGCUUAGAGUCUAAUCCCUUGCGGGAAACAGUGCAUGGUGGGUAGUUUGACUGGGGUGGUCGCCUCCUAAAAAGUAACGGAGGCUUGCAAAGGUUCCCUCAGUACGGUUGGUAAUCGUACGAAGAGCGCAUUAGUAUAAGGGAGCUUGACUGUGAGACAGACAAGUCGAGCAGGGGCGAAAGCCGGCUAAAGUGAUCCGGUGGUUCUGUAUGGAAGGGCCAUCGCUCAAAGGAUAAAAGGUACUCCGGGGAUAACAGGCUGAUCUCCCCCAAGAGCCCAUAUCGACGGGGAGGUUUGGCACCUCGAUGUCGGUUCGUCACAUCCUGGGGCUGGAGAAGGUCCCAAGGGUUCGGCUGUUCGCCGAUUAAAGUGGCACGUGAACUGGGUUCAGAACGUCGCAAGACAGUUCGGUCCCUAUCUGUGAUGGGCGUUAGAAUAUUGCGUGGACAUGACCUUAGUACGAGAGGACCGGGUCGUACGGACCGCUGGUGUAUCUGUUGUGCCGCCAGGUGCAAUGCAGAGUAGCUACGUCCGGCCAGGAUAAACGCUGAAAGCAUCUAAGCGUGAAACCUUCCACAAGAUGAGUAUUCUUUUAAGGGUCGUCGAAGACUACGACGUUGAUAGGCUACAGAUGUACAACUGGUAACAGUAAAGUCGAGUAGUACUAAUUGCCCGUACGCUUUAAUCA